AGACAAUGACCAGGUCCAAGAGGAAGUGGCUGGUACAUCAGAUGGCAUCACAACAUUAAUGUACGCUGUGGACAGCAACGCACUAGAUGACGUAUUGGAGAAAUGAUUGAAACGGCGACUGUCGAGAAUUUAGAAACACAGACGAUAUUGAUCCUCAUGAGAAGACCUGCCACCCAAGCUAGCCUCCUCUCGGGCCUAGGCUAACUUCGUCAUGCUUAGUCUUACAGCUAGACGGUGAUAGCUAGGCCUGCUCAUCGAUUUUCGAAGAUGACAAUGCCAAGCUUACAAGAUGAACU